rnacentral:rRNA from 1 species
UGGGGAAUUCUGGACAAUGGGGGAAACCCUGAUCCAGCCAUCCCGCGUGUGCGAUGAAGGCCUUCGGGUUGUAAAGCACUUUUGGCAGGAAAGAAACGUCAUGGGUUAAUACCCCGUGAAACUGACGGUACCUGCAGAAUAAGCACCGGCUAACCACGUGCCAGCAGCCGCGGUAAUACGUAGGGUGCAAGCGUUAAUCGGAAUUACUGGGCGUAAAGCGUGCGCAGGCGGUUCGGAAAGAAAGAUGUGAAAUCCCAGAGCUCAACUUUGGAACUGCAUUUUUAACUACCGGGCUAGAGUGUGUCAGAGGGAGGUGGAAUUCCGCGUGUAGCAGUGCAAUGCGUAGAUAUGCGGAGGAACACCGAUGGCGAAGGCAGCCUCCUGGGAUAACACUGACGCUCAUGCACGAAGGCGUGGGGAGCAACCAGG